rnacentral:misc_RNA from 1 species
AACGCAAAUUGCGCUCGAGGCCUCGGCCAAGAGCAUGUCUGCCUCAGCGUCGGCUACUACCCUCAAACCCCUUUCAAGUGGGAGGAGUUUGGAUUUGGUCGUCCGGUGUGCCCUUGAGCUGCCGGUCAACUGAAACAUAAUCACGCUUUGAAGGCCCUUUCCCCUUCAGGAAAGGCGAGUCCGGAUUUGGUAGGUGGCCUUUGCCGGUUACAUGCCCUUCGUUGCUCGCUGUGCCUUCCAUUGGCCGUGUGCAGGACGCCUUUUGGCUUUCGACCUGAGGUCAGGCAAGAACACCCGCUGAACUUAA